UACGUAGGGUGCGAGCGUUGUCCGGAAUUAUUGGGCGUAAAGGGCUCGUAGGCGGUUUGUCGCGUCGGGAGUGAAAACACCGGGCUUAACUCGGUGCUUGCUUUCGAUACGGGCAGACUAGAGGUAUGCAGGGGAGAACGGAAUUCCUGGUGUAGCGGUGAAAUGCGCAGAUAUCAGGAGGAACACCGGUGGCGAAGGCGGUUCUCUGGGCAUUACCUGACGCUGAGGAGCGAAAGCUAGGGGAGCAAACGGG
rnacentral:rRNA from 1 species